ACAGGAAGUGCCUGCGUACGAACAGGAAGCGCAUGGCAUAACAUGUUUGGAGAGCUCAGAUGGCCCUCUCACUCGGCCCUGAGGAAAAGGACACUGUGGCCACGGCUUCUAAUCUCCCAGAGACGCAACUGGACACCACUGCAAUUGCUGAUUAUGGACUGUCUACUUUAAAUGACCGCACAGUCCAGAUCAAAGGAGGCUUAUGAGGAGCAGAUGGGCGGGGCCUGAGCUCUUCAUGCAGACUGUCCAGAGAUCGCCACUGCCUCGAGGAUCCCCAGAAGUGGUCAAGCAGUUUCAGCCUCCUGUGACAGUAGAAAUUACCAGCAGUCUUGAGUGAACGGACGGUCCAGAGAAGACCACAGAGUCCUGCCUCGGGGUCCUAGGAGUGGCCAAGUGAGUUCAGCCUGCUGUGAAAAUUGCCAGCGGAAUGAGUUGGAGGACGAUUCAGAGAACACAACAGGCUCCUGCUUCAGGGGCAAGCAGCUUUAGCCUCCUGUGGAAAUUGCCAACUUUGCGAUUUGAGUAACGGGUAAGACUUUUUUUUUUCCCAGUAAUGGUUAUCAUGCAGGCUGUGUGACAGGUCUAGAAAAGUGUUUGCAACUGUACGAUUGCAUAAUGUGUUAACUUGCGGUGCUUCUUGGCUUUGGUUGCAUGUCCUGAACUAUUCUGUUUUAACCAUUUUCCAUUGGCCAAUGUUUUAGGAAUGUGUAUUGCUAAAUGUAAACCUGCAGGUGCAAGAGAUCAUGUCAGUGUUUCAAGACUUGUAUGGAUGAGUUGGGUAAUGUAGUGUUAUUUCUUGCA
ensembl:lncRNA